CUGUGCAUUUGCUUUUCUGUAUAACACACAGAGCUCACUGUGACCAGUUUGCAUUUAGACGAGAAAGUGCGUUUUGCAUUGAAACAACGUUGUCAACUGGGAAAUAUGUCCAGUUUACGUAACCGUUUAGUAAAGAUGAAGAUAUCGAGAUGCUUCAGCUACAUGACCAAAUACCGCCAGUUGGGUUUGGAAUUUCAUCAUAUUCAAAUACACACCAGCAGCUCUGGCAUCCCCGAGUGACUUCUCCACGAAUCUAUUCCAUAUUAAUGGGUGUGUUAUCAGUUCUUCUGCAGCUGCCAGUCAGUCACAAACACCGCGGCCCUGCAGGGACUGACCCCUCCUCUAACACUGGUACGGCUCAUACAAUGCC
ensembl:lncRNA